rnacentral:lncRNA from 1 species
AAUAGGUGGUGACUUCCUCUACUCGCUUCAGUACAAGAAGGCGGACCUUUUUCCAGCAAGUCGGGUUGCUACCGGGACUACUGUGGAAGCUGGGUGGUUCUGAGGUACCAUCCCCUAGGCUUUCAGUGGCCUAUGGAAGUAGCAUGUCGGGGUGAAGAAGGUGGCUCCAUACCCGGGAAUGUGGGGUGUUUGGUUUGCGCAAAAGACAAAAGGAAAGACGGGGGCGAGCAAGCCCUCUUUUUCCGGAAGAAGGUCGACCCUUACUCUAUUU